UACGGAGGGUGCAAGCGUUGUCCGGAAUCACUGGGCGUAAAGGGCGCGUAGGCGGCUCAUGAAGGCUGUGGUGAAAGUCCGGGGCUCAACCUCGGAUCGGCCGUGGCGACUCGUGGGCUGGAGCACUGUAGAGGCGGGUGGAAUUCCUGGUGUAGCGGUGGAAUGCGCAGAUAUCAGGAGGAACACCGGUGGCGAAGGCGGUUCUCUGGGCCUGUACUGACGCUGAGGAGCGAAAGCGUGGGGAGCGAACAGG
rnacentral:rRNA from 1 species